UGUUCCAACCACAUAGCCACUUCGCCAUUGGCUUGUUUGCAAAAGAUGUUACUUCAAUGUUGAAUUAUGGUCACAAAGGUUGAAUUUAUGGUUAAUGUUGAUGACUGAUGGUGAAUAAACCAUCAAACAAUUGUCCAAUUCUAGCCAAUUAACUAAUGUUGAAAAUAUGUCAUUGAAUCAAUGUUGUUUUCUGGUCAAAUUCUGUUGAUUGAAAUGCCAAUGUAUAAUCCAUUGUUUUUCAUACUACUCCUCAAGGCACACUGCCCUGCAAAUUUUAGGCAUUUCCCUAAUUCAGCACACAUGAUUUCAAUUGAUGGCUGAUUAACAGGGUUUUGCUGAAUUGCACUCAUGGAGGUCAGUUUGAGGACCAGUGUUGGGGGAAAAACUGCUAAUCAAUUUUGAAUCCAAGUAUGCUGUUUGUUCCACUCCAACCCCCCCCCCGUCCUGGGGAGUAGAUGCCACUACAUCCCCAUAUCUCCCCAUUUCUCCCUAAACCUUCCCCACUUUUCACCCCUCCCCCUGCCACCCUCGCUCUCCUUGAGCUCUGGGUCAGAAUAUUUUAUUACUGGGUGGGGGUUAAUCAUGUUUCGAAGUAAGCACUACAUGUUGAGAACAGUGGGUUGUGACUCCUUUCUGUACAAUUUCUUGUCUAUAAAAAUGAUUACUGACUGUGCAUAACGUGUUGAUACAAAAAACAUCCACAAGUCACUACAAGCAGUGGAAUGGUCCGCCUCCCGUGUUUUACACUAGUGGUUUGUCCCAACCAAACAGCCACUUUGCUGCUGGCUUGUUUGCAACCGGCUUCUGAAUUGAUUUCUACUCUGGGCACUUUUUGGUAAGUUUGGCAAUAUUACUUUUAUCUUAAAUGUGUUUAUUGAAAAAUAACUGCAUUGUUUUGUGCCUAUAGUAAUCCUGGUUAUUUGGGGGCAAACCAGAUAUUUUUAAUAAUUGAAGUUAUGUCUCCCUUUGUAUUUUUUUUUAUCCUGCCCACCACUCUAGGCCUAAGUAUGAAAUCCUAUGAGAUUUUGUGGGAUUUGAGUUUUUAAAAGUAGGGCGGGGUCUAUUGUUUGGUUUGGGAGAGCAUAUGGUGGUCAAGGAAGUACAAGGCUGGCUGCUGCAGAACAGCUGAUUCAGAUGAUUGCAUGACCUUCUGCAGCAAUCAAGAACUCCAGAAGGCUGUUAAUCACCCACAGAUUCAAUCCAGGUGUGGCAGAAGGGAAACACUUAAAACAUCUAAGGCAGGAGAAACACUGAUCUAAACCUGCUAACGACUGAUUCAGUCUGUUUAUUCUUGGUUUGGUAACUGGUGAAACUGAACUAUUACUUGUGUGGGAUCAUUAUCAGCAUAUGAACAUUUUUGAAUGGAUUUAAUAAACUUAUUUGGAAAUGUUUGUGGUUAA